AUUGAACGCUGGCGGCAGGCUUAACACAUGCAAGUCGAACGGUAACAUAAAGAAGCUUGCUUCUUUGAUGACGAGUGGCGGACGGGUGAGUAAUGCUUGGGAAUCUAGCUUAUGGAGGGGGAUAACUACGGGAAACUGUAGCUAAUACCGCGUAAUAUCGAGAGAUUAAAGUGUGGGACCUUCGGGCCACAUGCCAUAGGAUGAGCCCAAGGGGGAUUAGGUAGUUGGUGAGGUAAAGGCUCACCAAGCAGACGAUCUCUAGCUGGUCUGAGAGGAUGACCAGCCACACUGGGAGUGAGACACGGCCCAGACUCCUACGGGAGGCAGCAGUGGGGAAUAUUGCGCAAUGGGGGCAACCCUGACGCAGCCAUGCCGCGUGAAUGAAGAAGGCCUUCGGGUUGUAAAGUUCUUUCGGUAGCGAGGAAGGCAUUUAGUUUAAUAGACUAGGUGAUUGACGUUAACUACAGAAGAAGCACCGGCUAACUCCGUGCCAGCCGCCGCAGUAAAAC
rnacentral:rRNA from 1 species